rnacentral:rRNA from 1 species
GACGAACGCUGGCGGCGUGCUUAACACAUGCAAGUCGAACGGUAAGGCCCUUCGGGGUACACGAGUGGCGAACGGGUGAGUAACACGUGAGCAAUCUGCCCUUGACUCUGGGAUAACUGCGGGAAACUGUAGCUAAUACCGGAUACGACGCCUUGGGGCAUCCCAGGGCGUGGAAAGAAUUUCGGUCAAGGAUGAGCUCGCGGCCUAUCAGCUAGUUGGUGAGGUAACGGCUCACCAAGGCGACGACGGGUAGCCGGCCUGAGAGGGUGACCGGCCACACUGGAACUGAGACACGGUCCAGACUCCUACGGGAGGCAGCAGUGGGGAAUAUUGCACAGUGGGCGCAAGCCUGAUGCAGCAACGCCGCGUGAGGGAUGAAGGCCUUCGGGUUGUAAACCUCUUUUAGCAGGGAAGAAGCGAAAGUGACGGUACCUGCAGAAAAAGCACCGGCUAACUACGUGCCAGCAGCCGCCGCCG